CCCACCCUGGUUACCUGCUCCAUACACCUCCUCCAGCCCCGCAGACGGAGGCAAUAUGGCUGGGCUGGCAGCCAGGCUGUGCCAAGAGCGAGCAGCUGCCGAGGGGCUGGGUUCCUGCAGGAAGGCCCUCAGCUACCUGGGCCAGGACUACGAGGCACUGAGGCAGAGGUGUCUGCAGGCUGGGGCUCUGUUCAAGGAUGAGGAGUUCCCAGCCUGCCCUUCUGCACUGGGAUACCAGGACCUGGGACCCUACUCCUUCAAAACCCAGGGGAUAGUCUGGAAGCGGCCCACGGAGUUAUGUGACAAUCCUCAGUUCAUAGUCGGAGGAGCUACUCGGACAGACGUCUGCCAAGGAGAGCUGGGUGACUGCUGGCUCCUGGCUGCCAUCGCGUCUCUGACUUUGAAUCCAGAUGUUCUGUACCGCGUUGUUCCCAAGGCUCAGAGUUUCCAGGAGGACUAUGCUGGGAUCUUUCAUUUCCAGUUCUGGCAGUAUGGGGAGUGGGUGGAUGUGGUGGUGGAUGACCGGCUGCCCACCAAGAAUGGGGAGCUGCUCUUCGUGCAUUCAGAGGAAGGCAAUGAGUUCUGGAGCGCACUGCUGGAGAAAGCCUAUGCCAAGCUGAAUGGUUCUUACGAAGCGCUUGCUGGAGGGUCCACUACAGAGGGGUUUGAGGAUUUUACUGGAGGCAUCUCUGAAUCCUAUGACCUGUGGAGGGCUCCAGCAAACCUGUACCAAAUUGUCCAGAAGGCCCUGAGGGCUGGCUCACUGCUUGGCUGUUCCAUUGAUAUAACUCGUGCAGCUGAAACAGAAGCAAUCACAAGUCUGAAGCUGGUGAAGGGACACGCUUAUUCUGUCACUGGGGCAGAAGAGGUCUAUUACCGAGGACGGCCAGAGAAACUUGUGAGGCUUAGAAAUCCUUGGGGUGAAGUGGAAUGGACUGGAGCGUGGAGUGAUAAUGCUCCUGAAUGGAAUUAUAUUGAUCCCAAACAAAAGCAGGCUCUGGAUAAGCAAGUAGAUGAUGGAGAAUUUUGGAUGGCAUUUUCUGAUUUUCAAAGGCAGUUCACCCGCCUAGAGAUCUGCAACUUGACUCCUGACACACUGACAAGCAACCAGGUCAACAAAUGGGACCUGACCAUGUUCAAUGGACAGUGGAUACGGGGUUCGACAGCUGGAGGCUGCCAGAACUACCCAGCAACAUACUGGAUCAAUCCCCAGUUUAAAAUCCGGCUGGAUGAACCAGAUGAUGAUCAUGAAGGGAGUUUGAAUGAGCCAUGCUGUACUAUACUGGUGGGCUUGAUGCAGAAGAACCGCAGAAGACAGAAGAGAAUGGGAGAUGGUCUGCUUAGCAUUGGUUAUUCACUCUAUCAGAUUCCACAGGAGCUGGAAAAUAACAAAGAUGUUCAUCUGAACCGUGCUUUUUUCACAAGGAACCAACCAGUAGCCCGGUCUGAGACUUACAUCAACCUGCGUGAAGUCUCCAGCCGCAUUAAAUUGCCCAAAGGAGAGUACCUCAUUGUGCCAUCCACAUUUGAGCCUUACAAAAAUGGAGAGUUCUGCCUUCGAGUUUUUUCUGAGAAAAGGGUUAAAACUCAGAUGAUUGGUGAUAUGGUGGCUGCAAAACCAUAUGAGCCUCAUAUUGAUAACAAAGAUAUAGAUGAUGAGUUCAAGACUCUAUUUCAAAAGCUCUCUGGAGAGGACUGUGAAGUGACUGCAACUGAACUUCAAACUAUACUAAAUAGGGUUUUGGCCAAGAGAAAGGAUAUAAGAAGUGAUGGAUUCAACAUUAACACUUGCAGGGAGAUGAUCAGCCUUUUAGAUACUAAUGGAACCGGCUCCUUGGGACUUAGAGAAUUCAGGACGCUUUGGAUGAAGAUUCAGAUGUAUUUGGCGAUCUAUAGGAAGGUGGACAGAGACUACUCGGGUACCAUUGACUCCCAUGAGAUGCGAAAUGCUCUCAGCGAGGCAGGUUUUGUGCUCAACAACCAGGUGCAGCAGAGCAUCGCCAUCCGCUACGCCUGCAGCAAGAUGACCAUUGAUUUUGAUGGCUUUGUGGCCUGCAUGAUCCGCUUAGAGACCCUGUUCAAAGUGUUUCAUCUCCUAGAUAAAGAGAAGAGUGGAGUUGUUCGGCUCUCUUUAGCAGAGUGGCUGUGCUGCACGCUGGUUUGAGUUGAGAUCGAUGAAUUCAGCAGAGAGCUCCAAACGUGGAAUCGCUCCUUCAGCUUCUCCCUGCUACAGAAAGCAGAGAGAGAAACUUGUUUUUAUUACUGGCAAGUUAUUUUAGUCCACGAUGAAUGAUUUCCUGUCAGUUAGAAGAUAGGACUUUUGCUAUACCAUCCUGAGACAGAUCUACCCAAACAAGCAGAGAUGGUUUCAGUCUUGUAGCUUGGAUCUGGAGACUAUUCAAAUCCCAGUGGCCCUGCAAAGGGUCUGAAGUGCAUUUUGUGUGAAUGAAGCCGAUUUCCACAGCAGUGGAGAAUUGGGCCCUGAAGGAGACCACUGGUGCAAAGACAGACUUGAAAACAAGAAGCAAGGAAGCUUCUGGUAUGAAGGAGAAGAACUGAUGUGUGAAUAUGGCCUUGAGAAAGAAGAAAUGACUAUUGCUUAUGAUCCUGGAACUGCUUCUCUUCGCAUUCUUCUGGUGGAAGUUACUGCCUAAUGGAAAGCAAGGGCCAAGGACAGUCACAGCAGUGGUGUCACCACUGCAUCCUCUUCAUCCUUACUGGAAUCCAACCAAAGAACCUACCCAACAGCCACAUCACUGGGACAAUUCCUUCUGACGUUGUUCAUGAGCAGGUAAAACCCAGAUUCAUAUCCUGAAAACACAACUUCAUCUUCCAGUAUGCAACUUUCUGGGCUACAUCUCUGCUAGGUGUCAUGGUUUUAUGAUUUUCGGUUAUUGGUAUUCCACAUCAUAACAUCAUGUAGUGUAUGUACCUGGUUCUCAAAAGAGAAGGAUUACUGCAUUCCCCAGGACACUUUGCUCCUCUGUUACCAUUUCUGGCCAGAGGGAAAAGAUAAAAGCUUGCAGAUCACGAGACCUCGUCCCUUCUCUUUCCGCCCGUCUCUCGUUCUGGCAGCACCUCGCUCUCCAGCCCUCUUAUCAUCGGUAGAAGAGUAAGGCCUACCU